AAGUACCUGUUUGUGUUCGUAGAACAUGAGACUCUUAAUCAGCGGGUCCCAGGUUCGAGCCCUGGUGCGCCCACCA
rnacentral:tRNA from 1 species